CCUACGGGAGGCAGCAGUGGGGGAUAUUGCACAAUGGGGGAAACCCUGAUGCAGCGACGCCGCGUGGGUGAAGAAGUAUUUCGGUAUGUAAAGCCCUAUCAGCAGGGAAGAAAGAAGACGGUACCUGACUAAGAAGCCCCGGCUAACUACGUGCCAGGAGCCGCGGUAAUACGUAGGGGGCGAGCGUUAUCCGGAUUCACUGGGUGUAAAGGGAGCGUAGACGGCCGUGCAAGCCAGGAGUGAAAGCCCGGGGCCCAACCCCGGGACUGCUCUUGGAACUGUGCGGCUGGAGUGCGGGAGGGGCAGGCGGAAUUCCUGGUGUAGCGGUGAAAUGCGUAGAUAUCAGGAGGAACACCGGCGGCGAAGGCGGCCUGCUGGACCGCGACUGACGUUGAGGCUCGAAAGCGUGGGGAGCGAACAGGAUUAGAUACCCUAGUAGUC
rnacentral:rRNA from 1 species